rnacentral:rRNA from 1 species
GCGGUGAAGGUCGAUCGUAAGGGCGACUGGAGCGGACAGAAGUGAGAAUGCAGGCAUGAGUAGCGUACAAACACGUGAGAACCGUGUUCGCCGUAAGUCUAAGGUUUCCGACGCCAGGUCAUUCCGCGUCGGGUUAGUCGAGUCCUUAGCCGAGGCCGAGAGGCGUAGGUGAUGGACAUCCGGUCAACAUUCCGGAACCACUUGGGAGUGCGAUGGGAGGACGCAACGAGGUAGGCCAGCCCAUUAUUGGAUUUGGGUUCGAUCCAUCUAGGCGUUGAGAUUGGUAGGUAAAUCCGCCAGUUGAGCUGAGGUGGGAGCGGGGCCGUAAGGCGAAGUGGCUGAGCCUUGUUGCCAAGAAAAGUCUCUAAGCAUAACUCUCUAGUGCUCGUACCGCAAACCGACACU